rnacentral:tRNA from 1 species
GCGUGGCGCAACGGUAGCGCAGCGGUUUUGUAAACCGAGGGUUGCGGGUUCGAUUCCUGCCGCUGG